rnacentral:rRNA from 1 species
GACGAACGCUGGCGGCGUGCUUAAUACAUGCAAGUCGAGCGAGGCCUUGGAAUUGGAGUCCUUCGGGAUGAAGAGUCCUUGGCCUAGCGGCGGACGGGUGAGUAACGCGUGGGCAACCUACCCCAAAGUCCGGGAUAACAGUGGGAAACCGCUGCUAAUACCGGAUGGCUUUACCUGAGGGCAUCCUCGGGUAAAGAAAGGUUACGCUUUGGGAUGGGCCCGCGUCCCAUUAGCUAGUUGGUGAGGUAACGGCUCACCAAGGCGACGAUGGGUAGCCGGCCUGAGAGGGUGAACGGCCACACUGGGACUGAGACACGGCCCAGACUCCUACGGGAGGCAGCAGUAGGGAAUAUUGCGCAAUGGGCGAAAGCCUGACGCAGCAACGCCGCGUGAGGGAUGACGGCCUUCGGGUUGUAAACCUCUGUUGAGUGGGAAAAAGGGUAGACAAUACUUUGUAUGGUACCAUUCGAGUAAGGCACCGGCUAACUACGUG